GUUCUUUUCUUCUUUCUUCUUCUUCUCAGUUCUUUCUCUUUCUCUUGUUCUUCUUCUUCUGCGUGCGAUUGAGAGAUUAAAAGGAAGCUUUGUGAUCGAUAGGAGGUGGAGAAGAUCAUGGAAUAUUUGAUAGUGAUGGUUCGUUGUUUGUUGUUGGUUCAGACUCGAAGGAAGAUUUGAAUUAGAGGUUAGGGUUUAUACGAAAAGCUUAGAGAUGAAUUAAGAGAUGGAGUUAGUGUUUUAGGAGAAGGAAUUGAGAUGGGUUUAUGUUUAAUUGAAUGAUAUGAAGUUGUUUGAGGAUUGAAUCAGCGAGUCAGGGUUUCUGUUUAGGAGCUGACGAAGGUUUGAUUUGAGGAUGUUAUUGAGUAAUUGCUGAUGGGUUUUAUGUUAAUUGAAUCAUAAAAAAGAAUCAGUAGUCAAAUUACUAUUUUAGUGAAGAUUUGAGAGAAAUUAGGGUUUUCUUGAGGAGGUUGGAUAGAGAUGGAACAUGGAUAGACUAGUAUUGAAUGAAUCUGAAUCAGAUGGGGGUUGAGCAUCUAUGAAGUAUUACGGUUUGGGUUCAAGUUGAGGAUGAACUUGGUGACAAAGAUGUAAUAGUGAAUUGAGGUUUGUUCUGGUUCGCAGGGAGUUGUGAUGAAUUUGGUGGAUGGGUGUAUCUGAAUAAGAAUUGAGGUAAUUGUUUUCCCUGAAUUGAUUUGGUAAAGUCUUCCACUUUCCUUGAUCAUUUGUUUGUGAUUAUUAAUUGAAUUGUGUUUGCGAGAUGAGUAUGGAAUGAAGCUCUGGUCAUGGUGUAGAUGUGUGUUGAAUUACAGGGAACUGGUUUUGCAAUGGUUUGUGGAAUUUAUGGAGAUAGAGGUGGAGUAUAGAUUGUAAGAAAGAUAAUGGUGGUGGUGGUUUUAUAAGUUAUAGAGAUAAUGGAAGUGGUAGUAAUAUUGUUGGUGAUAAAAGAAUUGGAGUUGGAACUGUAAUUUGAAGUGCUGAUGUAAACUAAAAUCCAGUGAAUUGAAUGGCUGGUUUAACUGAAGCAAGGAGCAUUGAGUGUAUGUGAUGGUUUUAGUGGAAGCUUGCUGUUGCAGGUAAGCUAAUCUAUCAUUUGUAAAUGAGCUAUGAAGUUUGAUUUAAGAAAGUGUAGUGUUGGGAAUUUUAGAUGUUGAUUGUUUUUACUGUAUUGUUAUUGAUAUUGUGGUUGUUUAGAAUAAGUGUUGAAUGAAGUCUGUAAUAGAGUUUUUGGCCUAUGCAAAGGCUUUGGCCUGGAACUUUUCUGUUCAGUC